UUGAGCACAGGGCAGUGACAAAGUGAAAGGUAAGUACUUUUGACUGAAUGUUUGUUCUAUGCAUGUUUUGUUUUAAUUCAUUUCAGGAGUGCUUAUCCAGUGAUGAUAUGACAGUUGGAGUGAACAGUGGAGCCAAGCAAUCUUGUUUUUGGAGCUACUCAACAAGCCUUGAAGGUAAGUUUAGAAUUCCUCAAUGUUAGUGAAUUAUUUAAAAAAAAUGCUGUCAGUAAAGUACUGUCAGUUGCUUUUGGACAGUCGAACAGAACAGACGUGGUUGCGAGAGCUCUCAUAUCUGUUGUGUUAAACUGUUUUUAUGAUAUGUUAUGUUUGUUUGUUUGUUUGUUGGUGUUGUACUAUUUUUCAGAUGCUGUUGGCAGUGAUGGGUUUUCAAGCUGACCUGAACAGAAAAGCAAUCAUAUGGUAAGUACAAAUAGUUGUUAUAUGGGAUGUUUUGUGCAUGCUUUUAUGUUUCAGGUGUACUUGCAGUUAGAGACGAAGACGAUUCAAGAAGAGGACCAUAGGUCAGAAAGUGGAUGGAACAUACAAAGGGUAAGUUGAACCUGUGUUUUUGUUUGAUUUUUACCAUGCAUACUUUGCUUUGCUCUGUUUCAGAUUUCACAUGCAGAAAUUAAACAGGAUUUCAACUGCUGAAACAGAAUUCAUCAAAAGUAAGGUAAGUUUUAAUUCAUUGAUUUGAGUUGUACAAUGUGUUCUUUACUUUAUUUCAGAUUCGAGUCACUGGUUUACACAUGGAAGAAGAUUUCCACGUCUGUUACUCAACUCUACAGAAGCAAGGUAAGUCGAUCAAAUUUUUGUUUUAGUUUGUACUGCUGUAAUGUGAUGGUAAACUUAUGCUAUUUUUCAUGUGUGCUAUGCAGAGAUGGAGAAUUCAAUUUUAAGAAAGAUUAACUGCUGCAGCUUAGCUCUGCUCUGUGUUGAUUUUUGUUCAAAAACGUUUAACAUGUAUGUGUGUUUCCAGAUGUUUUGUUUCAGUUGAUGUCCAGAUGGCAAGCAGUACAGACGUGUUGCUUGGAGCUGCCAAACAGUGAGUACAAACGUUUUAUAUUUUUCAGUUGUUUACUCAUAGAAGUCUGUGAAAGAUGAUAACAAGGGUUGAAUCUAUCAGCACUUGUGUCUAAAAAUGCUGAUGUGUGACGGUUUACUGAAAAGGGUAAAUGCUAGCCAGUACUUACACUUGAGCAACCGUGGGAUGUCGAACUAACUGAUGAUGUACUAUGAUGGUGAACACUUACUAUGUGUAUCAAAAUGCUUUUGUUGAUAUUUACUAUAGAUGAUUUGAUAUUGGUUAACAUUUGUUUGCAUGCUGUUAACAUUUCUAUUUCAUUUCAGGGAGCUGUGGUAAGUAUUGUAGUAUUAAUUUGUCUCAAUAAACGAUGAUGAAUGAAAACUGAUGUCGAUUCUUUUUGUACAGUUUUAGGUAUUAGCACUCUAUACAAAACUCUGUCGGUCGGUGUUUGUGAAUGUGAGCUUAAUGUUUGAGUAGAACAAAAAUGUCUUUACUUUUGUGAUCGCCAGUUGUCUGUGAUGUAAAGUGGAAAAAACACAGCUAUGAAGCAUACAAUUGUUUCAAUAUUUUAUCAAUGAUAGUGUGCUAUGCAUGUUUUGAUUUAGUUCGUUUCAGAUAUGACAUGACAUGAAGAGUUGACAGUCGAACAGAGCUGAGCAAUGCAGAAAGGUAAGUGUGUUUCAUUUUAGUAUGAACACUUGUAUUUUGUUUUUAUAUGGUAUGUUUUGUGCAUGCUAUGUUUCAGGUGUACUUGUAGUCAGCGACGAAGACGAUUCAAGAAGAGGAACAUUGCUGAGAAAGUGAAUGGGACUUGCAAACAGGGUAAGUGUUACAAUUGUUUGUUUGAUUUUUACCAUGCAUACUUUGCUUUGCUCUGUUUCAGAUUUCACAUGCAGAAAUGGUCUCAUAGCAGUGCCAACAGUGAAUAAGGAUUUCAUCUGCUGUGAAACAACUCAACAGAAAGUAGGUAAGCAUUGAAUGAAUGCACUUGAGUUGUACAAUUUGAUGUGAUGCUUUUUUCUGUUUCAGAUUCAAGUUUCUGGUGUAGACAGAAAAAUGUGUUUGAAGAAGGAAUUCUACUACUGUGAUUCAACUCUACAGAAGCAAGGUUUCAAUUGCAGAGAUGUUGCAGAGAUGUUUUGACAGCUUGUGACAGAAAAGAAAUUCAGCAGCUGUGUCUCGACUCUAGCCACGAGGUAAGUCAAAACAAAUAUACUGGUUUGUAUGUAAUGUUGUUAUGCCCUUCUAUGUUUCAGACUUACAUUGCUGUGACUGUUCGACAGUGGGUCAAAAAAGAGACGAAUACAGGUUUCAAGAAGAAAAUUGGCUGUUAAAACUCUGCACAAAAUAUGAGGUAAGUAAACAACUCUUUUGGUUUGUUUUGUGCCUUGUUAUGCUUAACUAUUUUUCAGAUUGAAAUGGUGGGUCGUUACAGAGCAGACUUUUGGACUACUGAGAAGUUGAGAAACAGAGAAUGAUUCAAGAUCAGCUAGGUAAGUCUUGAUUAUUAUGCAUUGCUAAAUGUUUUUUUCAUUCCAGUAUGGCUGUGGUAAGUACACAAACUUUCUUUAAUUUUCAUAUGGAACUGUUUUGAUAACUUGUAUUCUACUAUGCAAUGCUUAAUGUAUUUUUUUCAGUAUGGCUGUGGUAAGUACACAAACUUUCUAUAAUUUCAUAUUGAACUGUUUUGAUGACUUGUAUUCUGCAUUGUAAAAUGUCUGUUUUUCAUUUCAGUAUCCUGCGGUAAGUACACUAACUUUCUAUAAUUUCAUAUUGAAAUGUUUUGAUGACUUGUAUACUGCUAUGCAAUGCUUAAUGUUUUUUACAUUUCAGUUGCCUGCGGUAAGUACACUAACUUUCUUUAAUUUUCAUAUUGAACUGUUUUGAUGACUUGUAUUCUGCUAUACAAAAUGUGUUUUUAUCAGUUCAGUUGCCUGAUGGUAAGUACAAUUUGCUUCUUUAAAUUGCAUGUUGAAAUAUAUUUGAUGACUUUUGUUCUGCUAUGCUCUUUUUCAUUUCAGUUGGGCAGAUGUAAGUACACUUCAUUUAUGUAAAAACUGAAUAUGAUUGUUGUGCUAUACAAAAUGUGCUUUUCUCAAUUUCAGGUCAGCAAUGGUAAGUAGAUUGUGUUUCUUUAUGUAUAAUUUUGUAUACAAAUUGUUUUUUUCAUCAUAGCAUGUCUGUCAUAUUUAUGCUUUGUGUAAGUAAAAUGUUCAUAAAUCAUUCUUAUCUUCAAACUAAAAAUGUAUUGUGCUAUGCAAAAUGUCUGUAUGAUUUCAGUUGCCAGAGGUGAGUACCAUAACAGUUGAAAAGUUAGUUUUGUUUAGUUCAAGUUUUGGUUCACAGUUCUGUUUGUUAUUUGGCAAAAUUUACAUGUAUGCAUUGAGUCUUGAUUUCAGCUCGAUUGUGGACUGAAGAAGAUUGCCCGCAGAGGGAUUGGAUACAAAAUACAAACUUUACUGCUAGACGAGUGUUCUCUACUACUUGACGAGUCAGCUUUACUACCAGGCGAGCAGUGACAACAAGGCGCCUUUGUGGAAACAACACAACAAAAAACUCUACUGCAAGACGAGCAGUGACAGCAAGGCGCCUGAACAUGCAACACAAUACAAAAAAUGCCAAUUUGCAAACCUUGAUGUGGACACCGAGUAGUCAAUACAUACGUGUGGCGUAUAGCUGCGACAAAACCGUGGGUCCAUCGCACCGAUAACUUGAACAUUGGCCCGUGUAUGGACAUCAGUGCAACUUUGUGAAUCCAUGUAACUUUGUGAAUCCAUGUAACAUUGCGAAUGUGUGUCGAUCGAAAAAUGUGUACAUUCUGCACUGAAACGAACUCGGUGUUGCAAGUGGCAAGUGUUGACAGUGUGUAUGUUUAUGUUUAUGUUUUUACAUGAAAAAUAAAGGAGAUUGUUCUCCUACCUUUUUUUUCCUUGUUUUAUUGUGCUGGCCAGCAAUAUUGAUGUAUUGAUGUAUGUGUUUGUGUAUUAACAAUGUAUUAACUAUGCAAUACCAAAA